AAGUUCUUAUACACUCUGUUUAUACUGCAGUACUGGCUUUGAUUUUUACUAAAAUUCUUAUAUUAAUUAAUGCAUAGUAUGUGUUUGAUAAAAAGUCUCUAAGAAGAAAAAAAUUUGUUGGUCUUGCUUUGUUCUUAUUUUUCUGUGAUUUUUUUCAAAGGGUGAGUAAUUUCAUAACAGAGUAGAGAGGUCAGUUUUAUACUCUCCCUUGCUUCUAAACUUUUUUCAAAGGGUGAGUAAUUUUAUUGACCUCUCUAUUUUUUUCAAAGGGAGAGUAUGUUACUUGACUCCUUGUUCUGGUGUGUGUACUUGUUCUGGUGUGUGCCUAUAAUAUAUAUCAUAGUGUAAGUUUUUAUUAAGUAUAAGUUUUUUCAUUUUUCAUGCUAAUUGUGUAAAUAUAGUAUGGAUACACAUAAGAAGAAAGUUUUGGCGGUUCCCCCUUCAACUAAUGAUUCCAAAGCUAACUGGACGGAUCCUAAAGCGACUGAGAGCUUCCUCAAAGCAUGUUUCGAUCAAGUUACCAAGGGUGAACGCGUUGGUACGUGUUUUACUAAGAAAGGGUGGAAAGGUAUUGUUUCUCAAUUCAAUGCUUUAACCGGAAGGAAAUAUGACAAGAUAAAAUUGAAGAAUAGGUAUGAUAAUUUGAGAAAGGAAUGGAGAGUAUGGGAUAACUUAUUUGGAAAAGUUACCGGAUUAGGGUGGAAUAGUGAGAAGAAUACCGUUGAUGCACCAGAUGAGUGGUGGGAGAACAAAAUAUUGGAAAAUCCUCUAUAUGGAAAAUUUAGAGACAAGGGACUUCCAUUUGCUCAAGAACUAACCACACUUUUCAAGGAUGUAGUGGCUACCGGAGAGUUUGCUUUUGCACCAUCAAGUGGCAUAUUACCACCUAAGGGGUACUCGAGUAACGAUGAUGAGGAUGUUUAUCGCCCAUGCCUAAAGAAUCUUGGGUUGGAUGUGGAGGAAGGCUCGGGUGAUAGUGAAGAUGCAAGUGUUGGAGCAACAACCGAAUUUAGAAAUAUUAAUUUGAAUACUUCACAAGGAGCUGCUAGCCAAGUUAGUGGACAAAAGAGGAAGAGAGCUAGUGGCGCUGAAAAGAAAGGCAAGAAAAAAUUUACUCCCUCGGUCGCAAUUGCUCAAGCUGUUUGCUCUAUAUUAAAAUGGAUGGUUGGAAUGAACACUUGGAACAAAAUACACAACAUGAUGAUGAUGAUGAUGUAAUUUUCGAAGAAGCUUCUCUUUUGGCUGCACUAGUUGUCGUUGUAGGUCAUGGUGUAGGCAAUAGAAUGAUUCAAGAAAGAUUUCAACACUCGGGUGAAACGGUAAGUAGACAUUUUCACCGAGUUCUUCAUGCUUGCCUUAAGUUGUCCUUUAAAUAUAUCAAACCCAAAGAUCCUAUGUUUCGUGAUUGUCAUGCCAAAGUAAAAAAUGACCAAAGUUAUUGGCCAUUUUUUAAGAAUGCUAUAGGAGCGAUUGACGGCACACAUGUGUCAUGUGUAGUUAGUGCUAGUGACCAACCCAAGUUUAUCGGAAGAAAAGGGUAUCCGACACAAAAUGUUAUGGCUGUAUGUGAUUGGAAUAUGUGUUUCACUUUUGUAUUAGCUGGUUGGGAAGGUACUGCCCAUGAUGCUCGUUUUUGAUCAAGCUCUUACAAGAGAGAGCUUAAUUUUCCCCAUCCUCCUCCUGGUAAGUAUUAUUUGGUAGAUUCUGGGUAUCCAACACCAGUCGGAUACAUCGGUCCCUAUAGAUGUGAACGCUACCAUCUUCCCGAGUUUAGGCGUUCAAGUGGAUUUGAAAAUCAUAAUGAAGUAUUCAAUUAUUACCACUCGAGUUUAAGAUGCACAAUAGAAAGAACUUUUGGGGUGUGGAAGAACAGAUUUGCAAUCCUACGUCGCAUGCCGAAGUUCAAAUAUGAAACACAAGUUCAAAUAGUAGUCGCAACAAUGGCAAUACACAACUUUAUCAGAAGAACUGCUGAAGUGGAUAGUGAUUUUAAUCUUUAUGAAGAUGAAAACACAGUCAUUCACCAUGAUGAAAUUCAUAGAUCAAAUAACUUGGAUCCGUCACAAGUUUUCAAUGUAGCUUCUUCGUCAGAGAUGGAUCAUGUUCGAGACUUAAUUCGUAAUCAGAUUAUAGA